UGCACGUCCAAGUUGUUUUAGAAGGGAAAACUUGGCCAGAUGUUCUACACACACGGUGUCCCAAUCCAUUCAAGUCUGCUAUGGGAAUUAAUGGACAGAGAUGCCCGUGUUUUCUAGACUGCAGGAAGAAGGGUAUUAAGAGUGAAGACGAAGUGUGGAAAGUGGAACCACCCUGGGUCAGGAACCGCCUGGAGUUUGAACUACGUGGCUUUGUGUUGGAUGGGGAUGACUGUGAUCUGUGAUUGACCUUCCUAAGGCGCUUCUCCCCAGACUGUUGGAUAGUGAGUCCCAGGCUCUCUGGCUCCCUUGACUUCAUUCUCCUUCUCUGAGCACGGUGGAGUCUGUAAUUGGAUAUUUUCCUAGGACUAAUGACCUUUAGACUGUCCUUUGUCCAUGUGGUUCUUAUAAGUUAUGCUGUAACCUAAAAUAUGCAGAGACAUUUGCUGGGGCUGCCCACACACACCCGAGCAAGUCCUGAAUUGUUCUCUGCAGGGAUGAACACUGAAGGGACAAUUUUGCCUCAAAAUGUAACUCAUAGCCUCAAAUCCUCCCCUUCCAACUGUGUCAUGAAAUUUGAGGGAAGUGGACCAUUCAUUUUAAUGUUCUCAAUUGUCUCAAAUUAUAACAUAGUGGCCCCCGACCCAGAGCAGGUAGAGGCACAAGUCCCAGCCUCUAGAGAAUAUGAGCUCCCAGGGUAUUUUGAGAGCAUCUCAAGGAACAAGCUGACCCACAUAUCUCCCCAUUGCACUUGUUAAUGCAGCUAUCCACAGGCUUUCCAGGCCUCAGGGACUUUCUCUGUCGACUGGGAAUAUCAUCCCUCUAGGUGCAGCCGAAGCCAGACAGAGAAGGCUGUUGUUGAGUUCUAGUUAUACAGAAAUUAUGGUUGAGACUUUGCCAGGGAUUUUUUUUUUUAAGACAGGGUCUCACUAUGUAGCCCAGGCUGGCCUUGAACUCACAAACUGCCUGCCUCUGCUUCCUAAGUAAAGGAUUAAAGACCUCAGUGCUCUCUGA